AUAGAGUGAAGCGGUCGAUUAAGGUGCCCACGAUUAGUAACAAGCUAGCAGAUAUGAUGAUUAUUCAUGGAGGAAAUAUGGCCAAAAGCCAAUCAAAGGUUCUCCACACCCAAGAUAAUUGAAGUCAUAUCGGGUUGAAAGCUAAGCGAUUGUGCAGAGAUUGCCAAGCGACCGUUGAAAAUUGAAGACUGAGAAGGCAUUUAGGAUUUUUAAUUAUUUAAUUCUUGUAUUAGAAUCUUUUUUCAUGUACUAUUGUAGAAUGUAUAUACAUAAUAUUAAGAUUUUAUUUUGUGUAUUCAAAUGUAAAAGACAAAUAUUAUAGUUUCUAACAUAA